rnacentral:rRNA from 1 species
CGAGGGGCAGCGGGGAGCAAGCUUGCUUGCUCUGCCGGCGACCGGCGCACGUGUGAGUAACACGUAUGCAACCUGCCCUCCGCAGGGGGAUAACCCGGAGAAAUCCGGACUAAUACCGCGUGGUACACCAGUGGGGCAUCCCACGGGUGUUAAAAGGAAGCGAUUCCGGCGGAGGAUGGGCAUGCGGCGCAUUAGCUUGUUGGCGGGGUAACGGCCCACCAAGGCGACGAUGCGUAGGGGUUCUGAGAGGAAGGUCCCCCACACUGGUACUGAGACACGGACCAGACUCCUACGGGAGGCAGCAGUGAGGAAUAUUGGUCAAUGGGCGGGAGCCUGAACCAGCCAAGUCGCGUGAGGGAAGACGGUCCUAUGGAUUGUAAACCUCUUUAGGCGGGGAGCAAUGCCGGGCACGCGUGCCCGGAGGGAGAGUACCCGCAGAAUAAGCAUCGGCUAACUCCGUGCCAGCAGCCGCGGUAAUACGGAGGAUGCGAGCGUUAUCCGGAUUUAUUGGGUUUAAAGGGUGCGUAGGCGGAUUUUUAAGUCAGCGGUAAAAUGUCCGGGCUCAACCCGGGCCGGCCGUUGAAACUGGGGAUCUUGAGUGGGCGAGAAGUAUGCGGAAUGCGUGGUGUAGCGGUGAAAUGCAUAGAUAUCACGCAGAACUCCGAUUGCGAAGGCAGCAUACCGGCGCCCGACUGACGCUGAGGCACGAAAGCGUGGGUAUCGAACAGGAUUAGAUACCCUGGUAGUCCACGCA